ensembl:lncRNA
UGGCCAUCUACACAAAGUCAGCUACUUCUCAGUCUGUGUGUGACCCUCAUGGCAGUAAAGGUGUUCCCACCAUCAAGGUCAACCAGCACUUUGCCUUUGAAACACAGUACGUGAUUAAAGUUCAGAGUGUUCUGCCUCCUGAACCUGAGACCAGAGAUGAGUUCUUACAGUGUAAGCUACACACACCCGAUAGCCUGCUGUAACUAGUAUUACUUUGCACUCAAAAAAGGGCAACAGGAGGGUGACACACUGUGACGAGUACCAAUCCUACCCCUCUCACCCCGACCGCUUUGACGUCUGGGAGCAGGUGCUGUGCAGAGAGGGGACGUGUGGACGCUGCUACUGGGAGGUGGAGUGG